AGUCGAGCGGAACGAGUUAUCUGAACCUUCGGGGGACGAUAACGGCGUCGAGCGGCGGACGGGUGAGUAAUGCCUAGGAAAUUGCCCUGAUGUGGGGGAUAACCAUUGGAAACGAUGGCUAAUACCGCAUAAUACCUACGGGUCAAAGAGGGGGACCUUCGGGCCUCUCGCGUCAGGAUAUGCCUAGGUGGGAUUAGCUAGUUGGUGAGGUAAUGACCCACCAAGGCGACGAUCCCUAGCUGGUCUGAGAGGAUGAUCAGCCACACUGGAACUGAGACACGGUCCAGACUCCUACGGGAGGCAGCAGUGGGGAAUAUUGCACAAUGGGCGCAAGCCUGAUGCAGCCAUGCCGCGUGUGUGAAGAAGGCCUUCGGGUUGUAAAGCACUUUCAGUCGUGAGGAAGGUAGUGUAGUUAAUAGCUGCAUUAUUUGACGUUAGCGACAGAAGAAGCACCGGCUAACUCCGUGCCAGCAGCCGCGGUAAUACGGAGGGUGCGAGCGUUAAUCGGAAUUACUGGGCGUAAAGCGCAUGCAGGUGGUUUGUUAAGUCAGAUGUGAAAGCCCGGGGCUCAACCUCGGAAUAGCAUUUGAAACUGGCAGACUAGAGUACUGUAGAGGGGGGUAGAAUUUCAGGUGUAGCGGUGAAAUGCGUAGAGAUCUGAAGGAAUACCGGUGGCGAAGGCGGCCCCCUGGACAGAUACUGA
rnacentral:rRNA from 1 species